rnacentral:misc_RNA from 1 species
CUGAACUGUUGACACGAGUUGUUGCUGGUCCUCAAAUGGGGGCAUGUGCACGCUCUGUUUACACAUCCACUCACACCUGUGCACUCUCUGUAGUUCUAUGGUAUGGGGGACUCUGUCCUCCUGCUGUGGUUCUAUGUUUUUACACACACACUGUAAUUAAAGUCUCAUGGGAUGUAUACCGCGUUUAACGCAAUACAAUA